rnacentral:rRNA from 1 species
AUUGAACGCUGGCGGCAGGCCUAACACAUGCCAGUCGAGCGGAUGAAGGGAGCCUGCUCCUGGAUUCAGCGGCGUACGGGUGAGUAAUGCCUAGGAAUCUGCCUGGUAGUGGGGGAUAACGUCCGGAAACGGGCGCUAAUACCGCAUACGUCCUGAGGGAGAAAGUGGGGGAUCUUCGGACCUCACGCUAUCAGAUGAGCCUAGGUCGGAUUAGCUAGUUGGUGGGGUAAAGGCCUACCAAGGCGACGAUCCGUAACUGGUCUGAGAGGAUGAUCAGUCACACUGGAACUGAGACACGGUCCAGACUCCUACGGGAGGCAGCAGUGGGGAAUAUUGGACAAUGGGCGAAAGCCUGAUCCAGCCAUGCCGCGUGUGUGAAGAAGGUCUUCGGAUUGUAAAGCACUUUAAGUUGGGAGGAAGGGCAGUAAGUUAAUACCUUGCUGUUUUGACGUUACCAACAGAAUAAGCACCGGCUAACUUCGUG